GUUUGUAUGUGGGCGCGUAAAUUUGAUUUGUCAGCAAACGCUUUAUUGCAGAUCGUACAUUUAAAUGGUUUCUCACCUAGUGUAGGAAAGAGAAACGUCAUCGAAUUACAUAAUAACAGACUCUUUGCGAAUGUUUAUCGACGAAAGGAACACAAUGAUACCAGCGAACUUAUUUUUAAAACGAAGCUACAGCAAGAUGAAAAAAGAAAAAAACCUCUGGCACGGGACAAAUGAUGAAUAUUUGAGAAGACAGGACGUACCUCUUCCGGAUCCAUUGAACUCUUCUUCGACUCCGUUGUAUCGUCGGUUGUCGAAUGAAAUCGUGUGGAUGUUGGAGUCCUAAUUUUUGAUAUCUAAAAGCAUUAAUUCAAAGUAUCGGCAAAAACGAAUGUAAUGAACGACAGGAAACAGAUUAUUUAAACGAUAUUUACUAGUUGGCAAAUGAAAGGAUAAGCAUUCUAUUUUUGUGCGAAGCCAGAUUUUGUGGGAUCUACGGCACGCGUCCAAUGUUCAUUAACUGCCACUGAACCGAGGAAGGAAAAAAGGAAAGAAACGCGUGUCGUUUAAUAUGCGGCAUCUUUUGACCAUCAUGACGAACAAACGGAAAAAGUGCAAAGAUGGUAGAGAUACGAUUCAUCGAGACACACGGUCUUUUUACUUACGAGAUGAGUGAAAUUUCCUCGAACUUGAUGCUACAAGUAUUUUGAGAAAACGAUGGAAACCACAGUAACGAUAUUAAAAAUAUUAUAAAGUUUCGCCGCAAAUGAUGAGAGAACAGCUGCAAUUCUUAAAAAUUUCUUACGUUGAAAGUUUCCACACUUAUCCCAUGGAAUUUUUCGAAAAUAAACAUUAUAUUUCUAUGUCGUAGCGGCUAUCAUACAUUUGCUAUCCUUUGCAAUGUGUUAUUAACAUCAGCUUGUUAUUAAUAAAAUAAUAAAAAUGGCACGUUUAUUUCAGACACACUUUAUCGAUUAUAUAUUCUCCACGAUCGUAUAAUAAUAUCACGGAUGACUUUUCUGAUAAAAGUUUUAUUAAUUACCUUGUUUCUUAUCGAUGUAAUUAAGUGAUGAACCACGAUAAAGGAUUGUUGUAUACCUUUUGAUAUUAAAGUAUGUAUAUGUGAUAGAGUCGCAUUUAAAACGACUUGCAAAGCGUUUAAAAAUGAGAAGGGAAAAAUGGAAAGUGAAGUUUUCUGAGUGCAAUGCGAGCGGCAUUCGUUCAUGCAAACGAAGACUAUGCAGCGAGAGACUAUGCAAGCAGCGGGCUUUUUGGUCGGCGAUUGAAUGAAUGCCACGCGAGUUAGUCAGCGUCGCGGUGCUAAAUUCGGCGGACGCCUGGCGUCGAUCCAGAAGAACCACCCAGCGCACCAACCUGCUUCUAUCCUGUAGCCACCAAUGAAACUGCGAGAGCCGUUUUCUUAUUUGCUUGCCACCUUCUUUCGUCCCGCGUCGAUGUUUCAUGAUGCUUUUCUUCUGUUCGCUGGGAAGAUACGAUGCUGAGUGUAAGCUGCAUUUAUGGAUGCUCGUAAAUCUAGAGACAACAGGAUAAUGAUUUAGAUUUAAAUUUUGUAGACUGAUAUAUUUGAUUGGCGGACAAUAAGACACAAAAUAUAAAGUAUAUUAUAAGAACAGGUGUCUCGACGAUUCUAUUGCAAUCGCGGUAGUAUCGACGUUGGAUCUAAAAAUAAAGUCACGAGUGUUGAGUAUCUCAACUGACGCAACUACAAAAUUCGCCAAGCUUUUCUCGGCAACGAAUUGCCAGUAUCCAAACUUCUACGUGUCAUCAAAUGUAUAUGAAGUAUAAUUCCUCUCGUGGUUUCUAUGUUAAUAAACCAGUGGACGGGGCGCAUCCUACAGGUGCCUGAACGCGUUUCUGAUGGAACGCAUCGCGUAAAACGCGUAUUUUCGGCGCACUUGGAGAAGCUCCAGGUGCGGAGGAGGAAGUAUAUGUAAGCCGUGAUGAGGUAAAGAGAGAAGCUGGGUGGAUGUAGUGGUGAAACACUUAAAUGACUGAAUUAGAGCAAAAAAUUGGAGUUACAGACUAUUUAUAUUUCAAAAGAUAUGGAUAAACACUAUCCUCAAUGGUUAUCCAGACUCGUGCCAACGAAGAGAAAAAAAGUAUCUCGGAAAUUAAGGAAGGGGACUUUUUUGCUCAAUAAGGAAAACAGAGUCAUUAAGUACAAUCCUAUUUCGUUUCGAUCAUUCGGGAAAAAAUAAAUGUUUCAGUGGGUCGGAUACCGUCUCGAAAAGUAUCCGGAAACGCCUGGUUCUUCUUAUAAAUCAGCGUCGGUACACUCCCUCUUUCCACGUCUAUGUCAUUUAGCAAGAAGUUUUCUGCUAGAAAAAAAAAAAAAGGAAAAAGUACGCGAUCGCUAUUUAAAAGGCUCGUAGGUGGGUGGCUUUUUAGUUGAAGUAUAUACCGACGUAGGGAGAGGGCUUCGACUUUGGUCUUCGGCCUCGGUAUGGGGUUGCCGUGCUAUUUUCAGGCCGGUGGCUCGAUGCAGCUGCCGUGUUCUUCGGGUAAAUCACCUCUCUUCUAUUCCACGGUCACUCACGAGACAAGGUAGAACGUAUAGAUCGGAAUUCUAAAUUCACGAUUCGAGAAUUCGUAAAGGAUGACGUAUCUUCGUUAAU